GCCUGGGUGUCUCAGUCGGUUAAGUGUCUGACUUCAACUCAGGUCAUAACCUCGUGAUUCGUGGGUUCGAGCCCCACAUCAGGCU
rnacentral:tRNA from 1 species